rnacentral:rRNA from 1 species
GAUGAACGCUGGCGGCGUGCCUAAUACAUGCAAGUCGAGCGAACAGACGAGGAGCUUGCUCCUCUGACGUUAGCGGCGGACGGGUGAGUAACACGUGGAUAACCUACCUAUAAGACUGGGAUAACUUCGGGAAACCGGAGCUAAUACCGGAUAAUAUAUUGAACCGCAUGGUUCAAUAGUGAAAGACGGUUUUGCUGUCACUUAUAGAUGGAUCCGCGCCGCAUUAGCUAGUUGGUAAGGUAACGGCUUACCAAGGCAACGAUGCGUAGCCGACCUGAGAGGGUGAUCGGCCACACUGGAACUGGGACACGGUCCAGACUCCUACGAGAGGCAGCAGUAGGGAAUCUUCCGCAAUGGGCGAAAGCUUGACGGAGCAACGCCGCGUGAGUGAUGAAGGUCUUCGGAUCGUAAAACUCUGUUAUUAGGGAAGAACAAAUGUGUAAGUAACUAUGCACGUCUUGACGGUACCUAAUCAGAAAGCCACGGCUAACUACGUG